GUCCCCAGCUCCCCUCUCGGCCCAGCGUCUCGGCUGAGCUUUCUUACUGUUCGCCACACGAAACAAACACGCUCGAGCGUCCCGGGAAGCACAGAGAAGACCACGCCCACCCGUUUCCCUGACAGGAGGCAGCGGCCCCGGGCCUCUCCCUGGGUUAUCUUAUUCAGGGUUCCGUGCGUCUACACCGGGACAAAGCAAUGAGCAACGCAGACAAGACCCUGCCAUCAUGGGGGACACAGGCCUGCAGCUGCCGCAGAGGAAGCCAAACACAA